rnacentral:lncRNA from 1 species
ACAUGAAAAUGGAAAUGUCAGCUAUGCUUUUACAGACAAUGUUGUAAAAUUUACAACUAAAUAAUUCAGAAUGCUUCAAUGCAGCUUUACUCUUUCAUCUAGUCUAUGAGAUGAUCUGGGUCGACAGUGUAUGUGUGUGCCAAAAUACACUGAAGGAAAAUAAUUUACAUUCCACUGGGACUACGAGAGGACUGCCACGAGCCCAGUAUGGAUUGACCUAAUCUCUGCACAAAAAGUUGUCAGGACUUCUUUUUAUCUGGGGAAGGUUAAAUCAAACAUCUACAGCUCUAAAAAGAGAUAAACUGCUGGGAAAGAAUACAAGACAACCUUCUGAUUGCCUGCUGAAAUGCUAAGAUCAAAUGGACCAGGUAGAACAUCAAGAAGAGUUUGGCUAAAGGCAAGUCAAAACCAUGACAUCAUCUGCAGAAGGCAGCUUGUUGCUGACAUCACUGAUUCUUCCUUCUGAUUUAAAUGGUAUUAUUCAUGUUGAUGGGAUCACUACAAGACUGUGAUCAGUC